rnacentral:rRNA from 1 species
GGCGAGUGAAGCGGCAAGAGCUCAAAUUUGAAAUCUGGCCCCCUCGGGGUCCGAGUUGUAAUUUGCAGAGGAUGCUUCGGGUGCGGCCCCCGUCUAAGUGCCCUGGAACGGGCCGUCAUAGAGGGUGAGAAUCCCGUCUGGGACGGGGUGUCCGCGUCCGUGUGAAGCUCCUUCGACGAGUCGAGUUGUUUGGGAAUGCAGCUCUAAAUGGGUGGUAAAUUCAUCUAAAGCUAAAUACUGGCCGGAGACCGAUAGCGCACAAGUAGAGUGAUCGAAAGAUGAAAAGCACUUUGAAAAGAGAGUUAAAAAGCACGUGAAAUUGUUGAAAGGGAAGCGCUUGCGACCAGACUCGCCCGCGGGGUUCAGCCGGCAUUCGUGCCGGUGUACUUCCCCGCGGGCGGGCCAGCGUCGGUUUGGGCGGCCGGUCAAAGGCCUCCGGAAUGUAGUGCCCCUACGGGGGCACCUUAUAGCCGGGGGUGCAAUGCGGCCAGCCUGGACCGAGGAACGCGCUUCGGCACGGACGCUGGCAUAAUGGUUGCAAACGAC